CACACAAGAGGUAACUCCCCUGGAUAGGCCAGCAGGAUGCAUUUCCAGCAGUGAGAUGAGAGGUUCACCACAGUCCCUGCACUAAUCCAACUUUACCCUUUUUUUGGGGAAACAAGGUGGGGGCAGGAGAAAAGCACUUUGCUGUCCCAUCCUGCUCACUAACAAGGAGGGAAUUAAACAGAGGAGCUGGAGUUCCCUUGCCACAGAAACUGGCAACAGGAGCAGGAAAGUGAAAAACUUGAGAAGGCAUCAUCCUCCCUCCCCCUCAGCAGCAGGAGCACACCACGGCCCAAUCUACAUCACAAGGUUACUUUAGCCACAGCUGUAAAAGCCAGUUCUGCUCCUCUCCUCCAGCUUUGGAGGAUACUUGCUCAACCUCAACCUUUCAGCCUAUCCUUGCAGUACAGCAUUACCUCAGAAGAA